AAAUUUAGGAUAACUUAAACCGAGGGCCUUCAAAGCCCUAAAUAGAAACAAAUGUUAAUUACUG
rnacentral:tRNA from 1 species